UACGGGGGGGGCAAGCGUUGUUCGGAAUUACUGGGCGUAAAGGGCCAGUAGGCGGCCAACUAAGUCGGAUGUGAAAUCCCCAGGCUUAACCUGGGAACUGCAUCCGAUACUGGAUGGCUUGAAUUCGGGAGAGGGAUGCAGAAUUCCAGGUGUAGCGGUGAAAUGCGCAGAUAUCAGGAGGAACACCGGUGGCGAAGGCGGGUCUCUGGGCCGUAACUGACGCUGAGGAGCGAAAGCGUGGGGAGCGAACAGG
rnacentral:rRNA from 1 species